CUUCCGUUACCGGCGGCCGGGGAAGGGGCGGGGCGAUCGCCCGCGCUGGGCUGCGCCCCAUUGGCUCGUCAGCGCCGGGCAUGUUUGCUGAACUGUUUUCAGGGGUAAAGAGUUUUUCCCUUCUGUCCAGCCAGAAUUUCUUGUGUUGCAACUUGUGUACAUUGACUCUUUCCUUUCGAUAUAACCCUGUGAGAUGAGUUCCCUCAGUCUUCCUUCUGAUGCCUUCACUUGGACAACACAGGUGCUGUGAAUUGCCAAGGAAUGCAUCACAGCCAGCUGAAUCUGAACCACACUUGAGCCAGCACUGUGACAGUGGUUGGAAACUUCCUUCUACAAGGUAUGGAGGCAUCUACUGAGUUUGUUUGCUACCUCACGUGACCUGUUGAUUGAGGGGAAUUAGACCUGAGACUGUUGAAGAGAGUA